rnacentral:rRNA from 1 species
UAGUGGCGAACGGGUGCGUAACACAUGAGUCAUCUGCCCAGAAGUGGGGAAUAGCUCGGCGAAAGCCGGAUUAAUACCGCAUGUGGUCGUAAGACCAAAGCCGGGGCAACCUGGCGCUUUUGGAGGAGCUCGUGGCCUAUCAGCUAGUUGGUGAGGUAACGGCUUACCAAGGCAACGACGGGUAGCUGGUCUGAGAGGACGACCAGCCACACUGGAACUGAGAUACGGUCCAGACACCUACGGGUGGCAGCAGUCGAGAAUUUUUCUCAAUGGGGGAAACCCUGAAGGAGCGACGCCGCGUGGAGGAUGAAUGCUUUCGGGUUGUAAACUCCUGUCAUUUGGGAACAAGGCCUUACGUUAACUGCGUGGAGGAUUGAUAGUACCAGAAGAGGAAGAGACGGCUAACUCUGUGCCAGCAGCCGCGGUAAUACAGAGGUCUCGAGCGUUGUUCGGAUUCAUUGGGCGUAAAGGGCGCGUAGGCGGCGGGGUAAGUCUGGUGUGAAAUCUAGGAGCUCAACUCCUAAACUGCACUGGAUACUGCUCUGCUAGAGGACUGGAGAGGAGACUGGAAUUCACGGUGUAGCA